rnacentral:rRNA from 1 species
CCUACGGGAGGCAGCAGUGAGGAAUAUUGGUCAAUGGGCGAGAGCCUGAACCAGCCAAGUCGCGUGAAGGAUGAAGGAUCUAUGGUUUGUAAACUUCUUUUAUAUGGGAAUAAAGUGAGGAACGUGUUCCUUUUUGUAUGUACCAUAUGAAUACGCAUCGGCUAACUCCGUGCCAGCAGCCGCGGUAAUACGGAGGAUGCGAGCGUUAUCCGGAUUUAUUGGGUUUAAAGGGUGCGUAGGUGGUUAAUUAAGUCAGCGGUGAAAGUUUGUGGCUCAACCAUAAAAUUGCCGUUGAAACUGGUUGACUUGAGUAUAUUUGAGGUAAGCGGAAUGCGUGGUGUAGCGGUGAAAUGCAUAGAUAUCACGCAGAACUCCGAUUGCGAAGGCAGCUUACUAAACUAUAACUGACGCUGAAGCACGAAAGCGUGGGGAGCAAACAGGAUUAGAUACCCCUGUAGUC